GGGGCUGAAGAAGCUGAAGGGGGCUGGGGGUUUGGCGAGAGCAUGGGUGGGGCUGAGGGGAUGGAGGGGCCAGCAGGGAGCACAGAGGGCUCUGGGACUGCAGCUCUGACAGGCCUUGGAACCAAUUCCAGAGCCUCCACUUUUGCCACAGCUGCAAAGAAAACCUUGAGAACAGCCGGAGACUGCCAGGAGCCAGCAGGGAGAAGCUGAGUGCCAGCAGCAGGAGCAGUGAGCAGGGCCCUGCUGCUGCCAGCCUGGAGAGAGCCCGGAUGUCCCAUCUGCUGUCCCUGUCCAGGAGAUGUGCCGAACUUCAUCUGCAGGAUCAGAAGAACCAGUGUCCUUUGGCCUCCCCCAGUUCCCACUGAGGACGAGAGCACCUGCAGAGCAGAGGAGACCAGCUGCAGCUCCAGGCCCAGGUCUUGCUGGUCACAGCUGAGCCUGUGUGAAAAGGUUUCUUAAGUUAUAGGUUAAAAUUCAACACAUAAUUCUACAAGCUAAAAUUUAAAUGCUGAAUUCAUAUUGCUAACUCAAGGGAGCUCCAAAAAUCUCUAUUUCAAAAGCAACAAACCUUUGAAAGGUUAAACCUCAACAGAGCUGUGAUCCUCCAUCAAUACCUCCUUCUUCCACUUGCUUAAAAUCUCUUUGUUCUGGGCACUCACUAAGGCCUUUUUCCUGGAAGCUCUCUGGCUGUCUUGAAUGCUUAUGGAGUAACAGGUAAUCCCUGAUCUAUUUUCAACUCUCUGCCCAGAGACUUCUGGAAGGGAGGUAGGACUGGUACUGGGGACCUGGCAGCUUGUCCAGGAAUCAAAAUUAUUGAAAUAAUGGUAAUGUGGACAAGGCAUGCAAGUCCAGGUGGUGAGCUCAAAUAUGCAAGUACUUGCAGUUUCCCCUCAGCACUUGACAGCUAAGGGGUAUGGUCUCUUCUUAUUUCUGUCUCUUAAUCCUCAAUCCUUGCCACACUCCUUCAACAUCUUUUGCAUUGUCAUCUUCCCUGUUUUCUCCCUCCCUUCUUCUUUCUGUGACUUUCUGUACACGACAGACUAUCUGUCACACUCUGUCAGCUUGCUCAGUCACCCGAGCAGUGAUAAUGAUGGUGUAGAAAUUGUAGGUGCACAGGAGGCAAAGGUGUCAUGCUUCUGUGUGCCCUCUGCAGGCAAAGCUGCUUCCCGAAGCUUCAGUCAAACUUGGAACAAAGGCUUGUCCCCACUGCAGGGACAAGAGAGGUAGGAAACUGGGCUCAUAAAACAUGCUUCUUCUGCUUCAACAAAAAACCGUGACUUCCCUUCACAGAGAAGGAUGUAAACUUUUUCUUGAAGGGAAUAAACAAAUCUCUUUAUGUCCUGA